ensembl:misc_RNA Metazoa_SRP Metazoan signal recognition particle RNA
GCUGGGCAUGGUGGUGUGAACCUGUAGUCCCAGCUACUCAGGAGGCUGAGGCAGGAGGAUCCCUUGAGCCCAGGAGAUCAAGGCUGCAGUGAGCCAUGAUGGCACCACUGUACUCCAGCCUGGGUAACAGAGGGAGACCUUCUCUCUU